GACGAACGCUGGCGGCGUGCCUAAUACAUGCAAGUCGAACGCUUCUUUCCUCCCGAGUGCUUGCACUCAAUUGGAAAGAGGAGUGGCGGACGGGUGAGUAACACGUGGGUAACCUACCCAUCAGAGGGGGAUAACACUUGGAAACAGGUGCUAAUACCGCAUAACAGUUUAUGCCGCAUGGCAUAAGAGUUAAAGGCGCUUUCGGGUGUCGCUGAUGGAUGGACCCGCGGUGCAUUAGCUAGUUGGUGAGGUAACGGCUCACCAAGGCCACGAUGCAUAGCCGGCCUGAGAGGGUGAUCGGCCACACUGGAACUGAGACACGGCCCAGACUCCUACGGGAGGCAGCAGUAGGGAAUCUUCGGCAAUGGACGAAAGUCUGACCGAGCAAUGCCGCGUGAGUGAAGAAGGUCUUCGGAUCGUAAAACUCUGUUGUUAGAGAAGAACAAGGACGUUAGUAACUGAACGUCCCCUGACGGUAUCUAACCAGAAAGCCACGGCUAACUACGUG
rnacentral:rRNA from 1 species